rnacentral:snRNA from 1 species
GUACUCUGGUUUCCCUUCAGUACCCACGUACAAAUCUUUCGCCUUUUACUAAAGAUUUCCGUGGAGGGGAACAAUCAAUGAGUCUAUAACUCAAUUUUUCCCUGCCCUGUCCCGACCAGGGCU